rnacentral:tRNA from 1 species
GCCGGCGUAGCUCAACGGCAGAGCAGCUGAUUUGUAAUCAGCAGGUUGCGGGUUCGAAUCCGGCCGCCGGCUCCA